rnacentral:rRNA from 1 species
UCGAGAAUCAUUCGCAAUGGGCGAAAGCCUGACGGUGCGACGCCGCGUGGAGGAUGAAGGCCCUAGGGUCGUAAACUCCUGUCAUCAGGGAGUAAUGGCUCAUAUAGUAACUGAUAUGGGUCUUGAUAGUACCUGAAGAGGAAGGGACGGCAAACUUCGUGCCAGCAGCCGCGGUAAUACGAAGGUCCCAAGCGUUGUUCGGAUUUACUGGGCGUAAAGAGUCUGUAGGCGGUGGGGUAAGUCAGAUGUGAAAUCCCGGGGCUCAACCCCGGAACUGCAUCCGAUACUGCCUUACUUGAGGGUCGGAGGGGAGUCUGGAAUUCUCGGUGUAGCAGUGAAAUGCGUAGAUAUCGAGAGGAACACUAGUGGCGAAGGCGAGACUCUGGACGACAACUGACGCUGAGAGACGAAGGCCAGGGGAGCGAAAAGGAUUAGAUACCCGUGUAGUCCCUGAGCGGGCUGGCAAGGCGCAU